rnacentral:rRNA from 3 species
AAGACGAUGACGUUGAUAGGUCGGGUGUGUAAGCGCAGCGAUGCGUUGAGCUAACCGAUACUAAUGAACCGUGAGGCUUAACCUUACAACGCCGAAGGUGUUU